rnacentral:rRNA from 1 species
AACGAACGCUGGCGGCAGGCUUAACACAUGCAAGUCGAACGCCCCGCAAGGGGAGUGGCAGACGGGUGAGUAACGCGUGGGAAUCUACCCAGAUCUACGGAACAACAGUUGGAAACGACUGCUAAUACCGUAUACGCCCUACGGGGGAAAGAUUUAUCGGAUUUGGAUGAGCCCGCGUAAGAUUAGCUAGUUGGUGGGGUAAUGGCCUACCAAGGCGACGAUCUUUAGCUGGUCUGAGAGGAUGAUCAGCCACACUGGGACUGAGACACGGCCCAGACUCCUACGGGAGGCAGCAGUGGGGAAUAUUGGACAAUGGGCGCAAGCCUGAUCCAGCCAUGCCGCGUGAGUGAUGAAGGCCUUAGGGUUGUAAAGCUCUUUCAGUAGGGAAGAUAAUGACGGUACCUACAGAAGAAGCCCCGGCUAACUUCGUGCCAGCCGCCGCUGUAAGAC